GUUGACUCUACUCUUUGAUUUCCUUGCUAGUCACUAGACAGUAAAGACUUCAUCUUCCUUUUGCACUUUUCUCACCAGACAGACUUAUAUUAUAUAUCUGUGUGUGUGUGUGUGUGUGUCUAUAUAUAUAUAUAUAUAUAUAUGGUAUUUGUACUUAUUUGUGGCCAACUUGCCAGAGAAUGGAUCGUAAUCAUGCAAAUGAAUCUUCUUCAACCAAAGUUGAAAGGAGGGUUGUUGAGAAGAACAGGAGAAAUCGUAUGAAACUUCUUUACUCCAACCUCUACUCCCUCCUCCCUAAACAAACUUUUAAGGAGCCACUAAGUCAGACAGAUCAAAUAGAUGAAGCCAUAAACUACAUAAAAAGCCAAGAGUCGAAGCUGCAGAAGCUAAAGGAGAAGAAGGAGAGCUUAAUGCGCACUAGAAAAAGAUCAUAUGCUACAGCAUGCGUAAAUGUUGAGAGCACAAGGAGCGCAAAGGCACCCCACAUCAAAAUCCAUGAGAAAGACUCCACACUAGAGGUAGUACUGAUAAGUGGCUUAGAAAAUCAUCAGUUCAUGUUCUACGACAUCAUUCGCCUGCUUGACGAAGAACAUGCCAACGUUGUGCAUGCUAACUUUUCAACUUUGGGAGACUCAACAUUUCACAUAGUACGUGCAGAAAUAGGCAAAUCUAUAUCUGAGUUUGGGGCUGCAAGAAUAACUGAAAAACUUAACAGAUUUGUCAAUGGAUCCACCAGCGACCAAGAAUCACGGUUAAUGAGUUGAGGCAACUACUUUUGAGCAGGAAAAUUCUCCCAACGGAUGAUUAUUUGUUUAUACACAAGCAGAGGAUCAUGCGUGACAAUUGCAGCCUCAGAUGGCAUGGUGUUGGUGAUGGAGAUUUCCUGUGUAGCCAUGAGCUAGCUAAUUGGACUCGAGAUUAACAACUUGGGUCGAUGAAGUUGGUCCAACUACGUUUCACGAGGGGGAGUUUGUGCCGCGUUGUUUGAUCUGAAGGCAACAUACCUAAUUACCAGUCAUGUAAUCCUACAACAAGACAAACUUAUCACCCGUUCCGGUGAGAGUUUUCUCUCUAUGAGAACUUAUCGCAUUGUUGGUGUGUGAGCUUUCCCGAUC